rnacentral:rRNA from 1 species
UACGAAGGGAGCUAGCGUUGUUCGGAAUCACUGGGCGUAAAGCGCACGUAGGCGGAUGUGUCAGUCAGGGGUGAAAUCCCGGAGCUCAACUUCGGAACUGCCCUUGAUACAGCACAUCUGGAGUCCGGAAGAGGUGGGUGGAAUUCCUAGUGUAGAGGCGAAAUUCGUAGAUAUUAGGAAGAACACCGGUGGCGAAGGCGGCCCACUGGUCCGGUACUGACGCUGAGGUGCGAAAGCCAGGGGAGCAAACGGG